rnacentral:rRNA from 1 species
GACGAACGCUGGCGGCGUGCUUAACACAUGCAAGUCGAACGAAGAGCGAUGGAAGCUUGCUUCUAUCACUCUUAGUGGCGAACGGGUGAGUAACGCGUAAUCAACCUGCCCUUCAGAGGGGGACAACAGUUGGAAACGACUGCUAAUACCGCAUACGAUCUAAUCUCGGCAUCGAGGAUAGAUGAAAGGUGGCCUCUACAUGUAAGCUAUCACUGAAGGAGGGGAUUGCGUCUGAUUAGCUAGUUGGAGGGGUAACGGCCCGCCAAGGCGAUGAUCAGUAGCCGGUCUGAGAGGAUGAACGGCCACAUUGGGACUGAGACACGGCCCAGACUCCUACGGGAGGCAGCAGUGGGGAAUCUUCCGCAAUGGACGAAAGUCUGACGGAGCAACGCCGCGUGAGUGAUGACGGCCUUCGGGUUGUAAAGCUCUGUUAAUCGGGACGAAAGGCCUUCUUGCGAAUAGGGAGAAGGAUUGACGGUACCGGAAUAGAAAGCCACGGCUAACUACGUG